UCUCCGUAGGUGAACCUGCGGAGGGAUCAUUACAGAGUUCAUGCCCUACCGGUUAGAUCUCCCACCCUAUGUUAUUAUUACUUUGUUGCUUUGGCGGGCCGUUAGGCUCCGCCCCGACUACCGGCCCCGGCUGGUAAGCGCCCGCCAGAGGACCCAAAACCCUGAAUAUUAGUGUCGUCUGAGUACUAUAUAAUAGUUAAAACUUUCAACAACGGAUCUCUUGGUUCUG
rnacentral:misc_RNA from 1 species